UAUGCUAAUGCAUGCAACUGUCCCAACGCAACUAGUUUAUGCGCGCAUGCGCAGAAUGGUUGCGAGUGAUUGUGCGCAUGUGCAAUAUCUACGCGUCUAUUUGUCUGUCACAUUGGCAACAAUAAGUUCACGCUGUGUAAGAAUAGGCCAGCACUGCUCAGUUGGAAUACUAACCUCGCUUAAUUCAAGUGUAGCUGCUAAACUAUUCGAUAUGUUGUCAUCUGUGAGGAGACAUCCUCCUCUAAGGGUACAAUACGCCCAGACUCAGUGCAGAUCCCAAGACAAGGAGAAUAAGUUCUCAGGGCUCUUGUUGGAUAUCAUGUGUUAUGGCAAGAUCGACGUUGUGGAGCCCGACCAUAUUGAAAUGAGGCAAACUAGAGCACCAUUGCCACCCCCAGGCGAAACAAUUGCUGUCUUGAAUACUCCGGCCUGGGCCUUUGCCGAUUACAAGACAGCAACAACUUUGAAAGUGGCCGCAGCAAAUGAUUGCCAAUUGUCUCAACCCAAAGACAAAAAUCGAAAGAAGGAAACUCAUUGAUAUAAUAAUGACUGUAGCACAGAGAACUGUUCUAAAUUCAAAAAAAGCUCUAUCAUAUAUAACUUGUUCAUACACAAAAGCAACAACAAAUAAUUGUACAAAAUAGA